rnacentral:rRNA from 1 species
GAUGAACGCUGGCGGCGUGCCUAAUACAUGCAAGUCGAGCGAACAGACGAGGAGCUUGCUCCUCUGACGUUAGCGGCGGACGGGUGAGUAACACGUGGAUAACCUACCUAUAAGACUGGGAUAACUUCGGGAAACCGGAGCUAAUACCGGAUAAGAUAUUGAACCGCAUGGUUCAAUAGUGAAAGACGGUGUUGCUGUCACUUAUAGAUGGAUCCGCGCCGCAUUAGCUAGUUGGUAAGGUAACGGCUUACCAAGGCAACGAUGCGUAGCCGACCUGAGAGGGUGAUCGGCCACACUGGAACUGAGACACGGUCCAGACUCCUACGGGAGGCAGCAGUGGGGAAUCUUGCGCAAUGGGCGAAAGCCUGACGGAGCAACGCCGCGUGAGUGAUGAAGGUCUUCGGAUCGUAAAACUCUGUUAUUAGGGAAGAACAAAUGUGUAAGUAACUAUGCACGUCUUGACGGUACCUAAUCAGAAAGCCACGGCUAACUACGUG